UACGUAGGGGGCUAGCGUUGCUCGGAAUCACUGGGCGUAAAGCGCACGUAGGCGGGUCGUUAAGUCGGGGGUGAAAUCCUGGAGCUCAACUCCAGAACUGCCUUCGAUACUGGCGACCUUGAGUCCGGGAGAGGUGAGUGGAACUGCGAGUGUAGAGGUGAAAUUCAUAGAUAUUCGCAAGAACACCAGUGGCGAAGGCGGCUCACUGGCCCGGUACUGACGCUGAGGUGCGAAAGCGUGGGGAGCAAACAGG
rnacentral:rRNA from 1 species